UUGAUACACUGGUGGUGGAACCUGACGGGCAGAGAGUUGGUCCUAGAGUACUGGAGUUGGCUCCCUUCGUGGCUGGUUCCUGCCUUUCUUUACUCUCUCAAUUUUCCUACGCAACAAAAUAACAUGGUGGUUUAGAUGUCAAGCAAAAUUUCAGUAUGUACCUAUUCCAACAGCAAUCUUAGGAACGCAUGCUCUAAUGCCAACUACGACAGCCCUGUUUCCUUGGCAAGAAAUGAGAGUAUCAAACCUAAACUACAAAUAAAAAAUAUUUAGUAUUUGAAGAAUUUCUCAAGCUUCUGAGUUCAUAUAUAUACAUAUAUCACCUGCAUUUUCCCCAGUAUAUAGCCAGAUCGUAGGGGGGGUGUUAAUACAACUUACCAAACUCUCAUCCUAUAUGUCUAUCUUUGUUACAAUGUGUCACAAUGUGUCACUUCCCUUUAAAUUUCUAAAACAUCAACUAUUAAACUUAUAAAAGUUUUUAGUAUAUUAACAUGGAAUUAAAUAAGUAUCAAUGUGAAAGGAAAGAAAAGAAAUAGUCUCUAUUCCAACUAGUGAUCCUUUGUGAUAGCUUGAAAAUAGCUCCAUAUUAAUUUCUUAUAUUUGAUAUAUUUAGGUUAGCUUUACAUGUGUUUGAAAAUAUAUAAUAAGCUUAAGGACAUAAUUUAAAGUCAAACGGAAAAAGGAUGGAUAAGGAUGAAGGAGUUAGAAUAAGCAUGAAAAUGCAUGGAAAAAGGUAGGAACCUUUUAAAUUAAGUGGUAUAAUAAAAAGUGGUAACUAUUAGAAAAAAUAACAUUAUGAAAAAUAACAACUUUAGAUGAAGUGACAAAUUGAGAAGUGAUAGCUUUUAGAUGAAGUGACAUCACAGAAAGUGGCAACUUUUAAAUAAAGUACCAUAUAAAAAGUAGUAACCUUUUAGAUAAAGCGACAUGUGAAAAGACAUUUUACAUAAAAUGACAUGUGAAAAGUAGUAACCUUUUAAGUAAAGUGACAUGAUGAAAUGUAACAAUUUUAGAUGAAAUAAUAUAAUAGAAUGGUGAUAACCUUUCCCUUAUGGCUCCUCACUCUUAGAAAUAAGGGAUAGGAUAAGGGAGGAAGAGACAUUCUGAAUGAAAGAAAAGUAGUGAAAAGUAUAGAGGUGAAAGAAGAAGAGGAAGAAUGAAGUGUGUGAUUGUUGAGAGUAUUUUGAGGUUUUAGAUAAAAAUCUUGGAAAAACUCUACUAACUUUAUGAGAGUGAAGAAAAAAGAGAAGAGGAAUAAGGCUCAUGAUCAAAAAGGGUAACCUUCUUUUUUAAGUUUUGAAGUUCUGUUUCUCUUUAAUUUUUGGGAUUAGUUUUUGAGUAUUGUGUUGAAUAUUUUUGAGUCAAGAAAGUGACAAAAAAUCAUUCCAAAACUCUGUCGAAUGUUUUAGAAAAAAAAGUCAUAAAUAAAGAACUCUGCCAGAAUUAAGACUACGACUACUAAGGACUUAAGGUAAGUGGAUGUUAUGGAUUCAUAGCCUACUUAGUUUUGAAGUAUUUUACGUAUUUUUAGUAUAAAAAUGUGCAUGUGUUUUAUUUGUNNNNNNNNNNNNNNNNNNNNNNNNNNNNNNNNNNNNNNNGCUUUCUGUUUUGAUUCGUAUUUGGUUUGGAAAGAUUGUAUGAUAUAUGUUUUGUUGUGUGUAAAGAAACUAUAUAUUACAUGUACUACGCUGUGAUUUCAUAAUAUUGCUUAUUGGGAUAUUUUAUCUCACUCCCCUAUUACCCUCCAGAUAUUGAAGAUACUACUGUAAAGUGAGCGGUGAUAUGAAAAAAAUUUCUGAAGCCUAGACUCUGAUAUUAAGAUUACUGUUUCAUAAUUUUGUUUAAUAAUGUAAGUAAGAAAAUUUAGAGUUUUGUACAUAUGUUUAUGUUCUAUAUUUAAGGGAUGUAACGCUUCUGCAACUCUUCUAUUAUUAAUAAACUUAAGUUAUUUUACUUAAAUUGAGUCUAUAUAAUUUAAGAAAAUAUGCUUCAGUCAUUACUCUAUAA
rnacentral:lncRNA from 1 species